UACGUAGGGUGCAAGCGUUAAUCGGAAUUACUGGGCGUAAAGCGUGCGCAGGCGGUUUUGUAAGUCUGUCGUGAAAUCCCCAGGCUUAACCUGGGAACUGCGUCGGAUACUGGAUGGCUUGAAUUCGGGAGAGGGAUGCAGAAUUUCCAGGUGUAGCGGUGAAAUGCGUAGAUAUCUGGAGGAAUACCGGUGGCGAAGGCGGCAUCCUGGACCGACAUUGACGCUGAUGAGCGAAAAGCUAGGGGAGCAAACGGGAUUAGAAACCCC
rnacentral:rRNA from 1 species